rnacentral:rRNA from 1 species
AAACUGGAGAGUUUGAUCCUGGCUCAGAACAAACGCUGGCGGCGUGCUUAACACAUGCAAGUCGUACGAGAAAGUCCGCUUCGGCGGAUGAGUAAAGUGGCGCACGGGUGCGUAACACGUG